UAGCCUGGUUUGAGCGUCGCUACAUCCAUAUAUGCAAAAUGUGAGUUCCUCUGUUGAAAUCGAUUUCUCAUGUUUUUCCUUAUUAUUUCUGAAUGUUGAACUAUUGAACAACUGAUUUGUGUAUCUUACAACAUGAGUUUCCUUUUGUUUUUUAUUAACUGUUGUUCAUUUUCUUUGAUAACUGUGUUUCUUUUUGCUACUUUUUCAUUUUAUGUACUCUAUGUUCAAAGCCUGGCAUCACAGUCGAGUAGCUCUAAAGGUCCUAAUUGGCAUCACAGUCCAAAUCAAGUGAUUAUGGAAUCCCUUGCUUUCGGCAAUGAACGUUGGAUCCUUUGCUUUGAUUGUGUUAGUGACAAACUAUGCAGUGCAUGGUUCAGUUCGUGUUCAAGUUCUUGGAUGGAUUUGUGUUUCUCUAUCUGUUAGUGUCUUUGCAGCACCACUAAGCAUUGUGGCACAAGUUGUUAGGACAAAGAGUGUUGAGUUUAGGGUCUGGAUGAAUUUUUCUUCUCACUUCAGCCAAACCAGGUAGAAGUAUAGGGCCAGUUCACUAUGACAAUGGGAGAAGCACAAAAGAUAAUUAUGAUGCAAGAGUCUUUCACUAAAAUAUUGUUCCUCUCCCUCUUUUGGCUGUUUUUAUGGUUUGGUUUUUUAUGUUUUAAUCACUUUUCAAAUAAGUUGUUUUCAAUAAUUUAUUUUCACAGUUAACCAAAUAAGUUGUGUUUAAAUACCAAUGCUCUGAUUUUAUGUAUAAGCCGAAUUUCACCAGUAGCUCUACUUUUGAUUCUUCCAUCUUCAUACGACAC